rnacentral:rRNA from 1 species
UACGUAGGGCGCAAGCGUUGUCCGGAAUUAUUGGGCGUAAAGGGUGCGUAGGCGGCGAGGCAAGUCUGAUGUGAAAUCCCGGGGCUCAACCCCGGAACUGCAUUGGAUACUGCCUUGCUUGAGUACUGGAGAGGGAACUGGAAUUUACGGUGUAGCAGUGAAAUGCGUAGAGAUCGUAAGGAAGGCCAGUGGCGAAGGCGAGUUCCUGGACAGUUACUGACGCUGAGGCACGAAGGCCAGGGGGAGCAAACGGG